rnacentral:tRNA from 1 species
GGAGGCGUGGCAGAGCGGUUGAAUGCACUGGGCUUGAAAACCAGCAAGGGGGAAAGCCCUUCAGAGGUUCGAAUCCUCUCGCCUCCG